rnacentral:rRNA from 1 species
UACAGAGGUCUCAAGCGUUGUUCGGAUUCAUUGGGCGUAAAGGGUGUGUAGGUGGCGCCGUAAGUCGGGUGUGAAAUUUCGGAGCUUAACUCCGAAACUGCAUUCGAUACUGCGGUGCUUGAGGACUGGAGAGGAGACUGGAAUUCAUGGUGUAGCAGUGAAAUUCGUAGAUAUCAAGCGGAACACCGGUGGCGAAGGCGGCCUUCUGGACAGUGACUGACGCUGAGACGCGAAAGCGUGGGGAGCAAACAGG